rnacentral:rRNA from 1 species
AACACAUGCAAGUCGAGCGGUAGCACAGAGGAGCUUGCUCCUUGGGUGACGAGCGGCGGACGGGUGAGUAAAGUCUGGGGAUCUGCCUGAUGGAGGGGGAUAACUACUGGAAACGGUAGCUAAUACCGCAUGACGUCUUCGGACCAAAGUGGGGGACCUUCGGGCCUCACGCCAUGAGAUGAACCCAGAUGGGAUUAGCUGGUAGGUGAGGUAACGGCUCACCUAGGCGACGAUCCCUAGCUGGUCUGAGAGGAUGACCAGCCACACUGGAACUGAGACACGGUCCAGACUCCUACGGGAGGCAGCAGUGGGGAAUAUUGCACAAUGGGGGAAACCCUGAUGCAGCCAUGCCGCGUGUGUGAAGAAGGCCUUCGGGUUGUAAAGCACUUUCAGCGGGGAGGAAGGCAAUGAGCUUAAUAAGUUUGUUGAUUGACGUUACCCGCAGAAGAAGCACCGGCUAACUCCGUGCCAGCAGCCGCGGUAAUACGGAGGGUGCAAGCGUUAAUCGGAAUGACUGGGCGUAAAGCGCACGCAGGCGGUCUGUUAAGUUGGAUGUGAAAUCCCCGGGCUCAACCCGGGAACAGCAUUCAAAACUGACAGGCUAGAGUCUCGUAGAGGGGGGUAGAAUUCCAGGUGUAGCGGUGAAAUGCGUAGAGAUCUGGAGGAAUACCGGUGGCGAAGGCGGCCCCCUGGACGAAGACUGACGCUCAGGUGCGAAAGCGUGGGGAGCAAACAGGAUUAGAUACCCUGGUAGUCCACGCUGUAAACGAUGUCGACUUGGAGGUUGUGGUCUUGAACCGUGGCUUCCGGAGCUAACGCGUUAAGUCGACCGCCUGGGGAGUACGGCCGCAAGGUUAAAACUCAAAUGAAUUGACGGGGGCCCGCACAAGCGGUGGAGCAUGUGGUUUAAUUCGAUGCAACGCGAAGAACCUUACCUACUCUUGACAUCCAGAGAAGACUGUAGAGAUACGGUUGUGCCUUCGGGAGCUCUGAGACAGGUGCUGCAUGGCUGUCGUCAGCUCGUGUUGUGAAAUGUUGGGUUAAGUCCCGCAACGAGCGCAACCCUUAUCCUUUGUUGCCAGCACUUCGGGUGGGAACUCAAAGGAGACUGCCGGUGAUAAACCGGAGGAAGGUGGGGAUGACGUCAAGUCAUCAUGGCCCUUACGAGUAGGGCUACACACGUGCUACAAUGGCGCAUACAAAGAGAAGCGAGCCUGCGAGGGUGAGCGGACCUCAUAAAGUGCGUCGUAGUCCGGAUUGGAGUCUGCAACUCGACUCCAUGAAGUCGGAAUCGCUAGUAAUCGUAGAUCAGAAUGCUACGGUGAAUACGUUCCCGGGCCUUGUACACACCGCCCGUCACACCAUGGGAGUGGGUUGCAAAAGAAGUAGGUAGCUUAACCUCAGGGAGGGCGCUUACC